CCCUUAGAUGUUCUGGGCUGCACGCGCGCUACACUGACGCACGCAACAGGUGCCUGCUCCGAGAGGACUGGGUAAUCAUUUGAGUGUGCGUCGUGAUGGGGAUAGAAUAUUGUAAUUAUUACUCUUCAACGAGGAAUUCCUAGUAAGCGCCAGUCAGCAGCUUGCGCUGAUUACGUCCCUGCCCAUUGUACACACCGCCCGUCGCUCCUACCGAUGGGUGAUCCGGUGAAUGAUUCGGACUUCAGCGGCUCCCCUGGGGUGCGCCGGAGAAAGUUUUGUGAACCUUAUCACUUGGAGGAAGGAGAAGUCGUAACA
rnacentral:rRNA from 1 species